CCUACGGGAGGCAGCAGCAAGGAAUUUUCGUCAAUGGGCGCAAGCCUGAACGAGCAACGCCGCGUGGAGGAUGACGGCCUUCGGGUUGUAAACUCCUUUUCCGGGGGAUGAUUGUGACCGUACCCUGGGAAUAAGGCUCGGCUAACUCUGUGCCAGCAGCCGCGGUAAGACAGAGGAGCCAAGCGUUGUCCGGAUUGACUGGGCGUAAAGCGCACGCAGGCGGUUGGGCACGUGGGGUGUGAAAGCGGCCCGCUUAACGGGCCGAGGCCAUCCCAUACGGCCCGACUUGAGCCUGGCAGAGGUUCGUGGAAUUGCCGGUGUAGUGGUGAAAUGCGUAGAGAUCGGCAGGAACACCAAGGGGGAAACCAGCGAACUGGGCCAGAGCUGACGCUCAGGUGCGAAAGCGUGGGGAGCGAACCGGAUUAGAUACCCGGGUAGUCCACGCCGUAAACGAUGAAUACUCGGCAUCUGGGGGGCGAUAUUCGUCCGCCGGGUGCCCCAGCUAACGCGGUAAGUAUUCCGCCUGGGAACUACGAGCGCAAGCUUAAAACUCAAAUGAAUUGACGG
rnacentral:rRNA from 1 species